rnacentral:precursor_RNA from 1 species
GGCUUGAGGACCGUAUUCAUGGAAGAGGAUCGAACAGAGAUGAAGUAGACAGUAUGUUGGAUAAAUCUGAAGUAAACAACCCAGCAAUUGGUAAAGAUGAAAAUAUAUCGCCUCAAGUAAAAGGACAUGAAGACAGGGGACAUGAAAUAGGCAGUAUGUUGGAUAAAUCUGGAGGUCUCUGCUAAGAAAAACUGAGAACUUCACUGAAGAACAUCAACAACAAAUUUUGUGAGCAGUAUAUAACUACAUUUCAGAAGUCUUAUAUGGAUGUACAGAAAUUCAAUGAGGAAAAAGAAAAAUCAGUGAAUAGUUGUCAAAAAGAACAACAAGCAUUGAAACUGUCCAAAUGUAGUCAGAACCAGACCCUGGAAGCAGGUAAAGAAAUGCAUGAGAAGUCCAUGGAGCUGCAUCAUUGGACUCAAACUGAAUGGUCCAUGUGUUGCCACUGAUGUGAGCCAUUUGCAAGCC